UCGUCUAUAUACGUAUAGCAUAUCAAUAAGCGGAGGAAAAGAAACUAACAAGGAUUCCCCUAGUAACGGCGAGUGAAGCGGGAAGAGCUCAAAUUUGAAAUCUUAAAGGGUUUCCCUUUACGAAUUGUAGUUUAAAGAAGUGUUUUCUGUUGGAGUUUCGGUAAAAGUUCUUUGGAAUAGGACAUCAUAGAGGGUGAGAAUCCCGUAUUUGACCGUUACUUUCCAGCUGUGUGAUACACUUUCAAAGAGUCGGAUUGUUUGGGAAUGCAGUCCAAAAUGGGUGGUAAAUUUCAUCUAAAGCUAAAUAUUGGCGAGAGACCGAUAGCGAACAAGUACCGUGAGGGAAAGAUGAAAAGAACUUUGAAAAGAGAGUUAAACAGUACGUGAAAUUGUCAAAAGGGAAGCGUUUGACACCAGUGUUGUUUUUCCGAAAAUCAAUUACGAAUGUUUUAUUUUUGAGGAGUUAUGACUUCAUCGGCUUGCUCCUUUCUUUAUGAAACUUUCUUAAUGCACUUUUCGGUUAACAAGUCAACAUCAAUUUCUUUUGUUGUAAAAGGGUAUGAGGAAGGUGGCUUUCUUUUCGGAGAAAGUGUUUAUAGCCUUGUGCCUCUGCAAUCGGAGAGAUUGAGGUCUGCAGCGUAGAUCCUUCGGGGUUAGAUACGUUUGUGCUAAGUUAUAGCUUUUCAUAGACAACUUGUUGACUAUGUUUAGUCUUGUAGCUUACUCGCUGACGCUAUUUUACCUACGCUUAGGAUGUUGAUAUGCAUGACUGAUAU
rnacentral:rRNA from 1 species